UACGUAGGGGGCAAGCGUUGUCCGGAUUUAUUGGGCGUAAAGCGCUCGCAGGCGGUCCGAUGCGUCGUGCGUGAAAGCCCCCGGCUCAACUGGGGAGGGUCGUGCGAUACGGUCGGACUUGAGGCCAGUAGGGGGAUGCGGAAUUCCGGGUGUAGUGGUGGAAUGCGUAGAGAUGCGGAGGAACACCGAUGGCGAAGGCAGCCCCCUGGGCUGACACUGAGGCACGAAAGCUAGGGGAGCAAACAGG
rnacentral:rRNA from 1 species